rnacentral:rRNA from 1 species
GUAGCGGUGAAAUGCGUAGAUAUCGGGAAGAACACCAGUGGCGAAGGCGCUCUGCUGGNCCAUCACUGACGCUCAUGGGCGAAAGCCAGGGNAGCGAAAGGGAUUAGAUACCCCUGUAGUCCUGGCCGUAAACGAUGAACACUAGGUGUCGGGGGAAUCGACCCCCUCGGUGUCGUAGCCAACGCGUUAAGUGUUCCGCCUGGGGAGUACGCACGCAAGUGUGAAACUCAAAGGAAUUGACGGGGGCCCGCACAAGCGGUGGAGUAUGUGGUUUAAUUCGAUGCAACGCGAAGAACCUUACCAGGGUUUGACAUCCUGCGAAUCUCUUGGAAACAGGAGAGUGCCUUCGGGAACGCAGUGACAGGUGGUGCAUGGCUGUCGUCAGCUCGUGUCGUGAGAUGUUGGGUUAAGUCCCGCAACGAGCGCAACCCACGUCUUUAGUUGCCAGCAUUUAGUUGGGCACUCUAGAGAGACUGCCGGUGAUAAACCGGAGGAAGGUGUGGAUGACGUCAAGUCACCAUGCCCCUUACAUCCUGGGCUACACACGUACUACAAUGCUACGGACAAAGGGCAGCAAGUUCGCGAGGACAAGCAAAUCCCAUAAACCGUGGCUCAGUUCAGAUCGUAGGCUGCAACUCGCCUACGUGAAGGCGGAAUCGCUAGUAAUCGCAGGUCAGCAUACUGCGGUGAAUACGUUCCCGGGCCUUGUACACACCGCCCGUCACACCAUGGAAGUUGGCCACGCCCGAAGCCGUUACUCCAACCCUUGUGGAGGAGGACGUCGAAGGUGGGGCUGAUGACUGGGGUGAAGUCGUAACAAGGUAACC